rnacentral:lncRNA from 1 species
GCAAACUCUUUCAUUUCUAAAUCGCAGAUUUUAUUUUUUAAACUCAUUUUUCAAAUUCUUAUGAGCAAUAUCCAAUUUUUCAGAUUUAUUAAGUAAUUCAAUAAAAUCUUUUUGCAAAUCAAUUUCACUAAUUUCAGAACUAGAACAAAUUACAUGGCUUGUAGUGUCAUCAAUAUUAGUCAUGAAGCACAAGUUGGCUUCUUCAUCGGAAUCACUUGAACUAGUUAAGCUUGAGUCAUUAUCAUCCUAAGCAAUGUAAGUCUUUUUCUUUUUGUGAAAUUUCUUUUCUUUCUUUUCCUCACUCCUUUUGUUUUUCGGACUUGACUUUCACAUGGUCUCUUUCAC